rnacentral:rRNA from 1 species
AUGGCCACUUUCGGCUCCGCCCAGGGUGCCGUGGACUCACUCCUCGGCAUCCUUGGCUCGGUCAUCCGCGAGGAGACACAGCUUUUGGGCUAUAUCCGGGGUGACGUCCAAUUCAUCAAGGACGAGAUGGAAAGCAUGAACGGAUUCCUCCUCCACGUUGGCGAGACCUCUGAAGACGAGGACCACCAGCUGUGCGCCUGGAUGAGACAAAUCAGGGAUGUAGCCAUCGAGUCGGAGAGAUGGGUCGACCGAUACCAACGUUUGGCCGGUAAAGCUCCGAAUGGUGGAGGUUUCUUGGGUUACCUGCGGCAGGUCACCCACUCCGUACUGACGAUUUCGGAGCGCCGGGAGGUCGCGACCAAGAUUGGGGAGCUAAAGGCUCGUGCACAGGAGAUCGGUGAGAGGCGC